AUGGUCUGUGUUGCAAAAAUGCUCUGCACUGUGGACCAUUGUUUAAAGAAAAUUCUCUUAAAAAAAUACAAACAACCAACAUCUAACAACCAAAUGAUGCCAAUGAAGGGAAAAGAGCAGUGGGAAGGCAGCAGCAGUCAGGAGAGGGAGGAGAGUGCUGGACGCUGCGCAGAGCAGAGGGAGGAGUAGGAGACGGGAAUGCAUAAUGCGUGAGUGACAGAGGGCGUGCAGGCGGCUG
rnacentral:lncRNA from 1 species